rnacentral:pre_miRNA from 1 species
AAGGUACUCCCUCCGUCCGGAAAUACUUGUCAUCAAAAUGGAUAAAAUUGGGUGUAUCUAGAUGUAUUUUAGUUCUAGAUACAUCCCUUUUUGUCCAUUUUGAUGACAAGUAUUUUCGGACGGAGGGAGUAGCAU